AGCUUGAUGGCGCAGCGGAAGCGCGCCGGGCUCAUAACCCGGAGGACGCAAGAUCGAAACUUGCUCAAGCUA
rnacentral:tRNA from 1 species